GUCGGGAAUAUUGCGCAAUGGAGGAAACUCUGACGCAGUGACGCCGCGUAUAGGAAGAAGGUUUUCGGAUUGUAAACUAUUGUCGUUAGGGAAGAAAAAAGACAGUACCUAAGGAGGAAGCUCCGGCUAACUACGUGCCAGCAGCCGCGGUAAUACGUAGGGAGCAAGCGUUAUCCGGAAUUAUUGGGUGUAAAGGGUGCGUAGACGGGAGUCUAAGUUAGUUGUGAAAUCCCUCGGCUUAACUGAGGAACUGCAACUAAAACUGGAUUUCUUGAGUGCAGGAGAGGAAAGUGGAAUUCCUAGUGUAGCGGUGAAAUGCGUAGAUAUUAGGAGGAACACCAGUGGCGAAGGCGGCUUUCUGGACUGUAACUGACGUUGAGGCACGAAAGUGUGGGGAGCAAACAGGA
rnacentral:rRNA from 1 species